rnacentral:rRNA from 1 species
UAGUCCACGCCGUAAACGAUGGAUACUAGUUGUCGGAGGUUCUUACCCUUUCGGUGACGCAGCUAACGCCUUAAGUAUCCCGCCUGGGGACUACGGUCGCAAGAUUAAAACUCAAAGAAAUUGACGGGGGCCCGCACAAGCGGUGGAGUAUGUUGUUUAAUUCGAGGCAACGCGAAGAACCUUACCUGGUCUUGACAUCCCUCGCUAUACUGGGAAACCAGUAGUUCUCUUCGGAGACGGGGUGACAGGUGCUGCAUGGCUGUCGUCAGCUCGUGUCGUGAGAUGUUGGGUUAAGUCCCGCAACGAGCGCAACCCUUGUCGUUAGUUGCCAGCACGUAAUGGUGGGCACUCUAGCGAGACCGCUUGCCGAUAAGGCAGAGGAAGAUGGGGAUGACGUCAAGUCCGCAUGGCCCUUACGACCAGGGCUACAAACGUACUACAAUGGCCGGUACAGAGUGUUGCGAAGCUGUGAAGUGGAGCUAAUCGCUUAAAGCCGGUCCAAGUUCGGAUUGGAGU